UUUCACUACCUGUUAAACUAUAUAAACAAAAUUGUUCAUCGUUACUCGGCGUCUCAAAGUGAACAUACAACAUGAGAGAUAUUGAAACGGAAGAUUUUCGGCUCGGUUCAUUCAUCAACACAAACGUAGCAACCGGGAGAGUGAAACUCAAAGAUGGAAAAAUCAAUUUCGCUUGGCGGUGCUGACUUUUUUCAAAGUGUUUUUAAGAAAUAUUUAUUCCGUUUCUAGAAAAAAAACCUAAAAUGAGUGGUGAUAGAGGAAGCUUUUCUUGUGAUAAUGGUGACAUCAGAACAAGAAAGCGUAGUGCAGAAAAGCGUACGUUACAGGACAUAUUGUAAAAGAAAUGCUGGAAAACAUUCUUCUGGCGAAGCUGAAUCGGGAGGUGUUCGAACGGAUCCUACAAACGCACGGUUGGAAGGACAAUGUUGUAACUGAAUAAUCUGUCCAAACCAGUCUACCGUUCCAUGUUACGUUUGUUUCUAUAUGAAAAGGAAUUUUUAAAUUAUAUAAAACUUAUGAAAUAUCCUCUAGUGAAUAGCUCCACAAGUAUAUUAACACCUGACACACAUUACUAAAAUAA